rnacentral:rRNA from 1 species
CCUCCGUUCUUCAGCAGUUAUUAAUAUUUUUCAAUUUUCUUAAUCCUUAACCAUCCAAUUAUCUUUCAUUAUGACUUCCCUACUUUUUUUAAACUUCUUUUAUACGGGAAUAACGCGCCUUACGUGUAGGGCUUUGCAUGUACCGUAUGAAUAAGGACCGGCUAAUUCCGUGCCAGCAGCCGCGGUAAUACGGAAGGUCCGGGCGUUAUCCGGAUUUAUUGGGUUUAAAGGGAGCGUAGGCCGCAUGUCAAGCGUGCUGUGAAAUGUCCGGGCUCAACCCGGGCCUUGCAGCGCGAACUGGCGUGCUUGAGUCCGCGGAAAGCAGGCGGAAUUCGUCGUGUAGCGGUGAAAUGCUUAGAUAUGACGAAGAACCCCGAUUGCGAAGGCAGCUUGCUGCAGCGGAACUGACGCUGAUGCUCGAAAGCGCGGGUAUCGAACAGGAUUAGAUACCCCAGUAGUC